rnacentral:lncRNA from 1 species
AUGGCCCUUCCAUCAGGGCUAAGAUUCCAGAAAGACUCAUGGUUCUCCCAACCCCACUUCCUCCCAACACAGGUUCGGAAGCCCAGGGCCUGUGGAAGCUCAUGUGGGCAAAGCAUCCGGAACGUGCCUGGCACAGGGUCAGACCUCUCCAGUGGAACACUGCCCACCACUCCGUGGCCCCCCAGGCCCCCAGCCACUGCAGAGGCUGUCUGUGCCCGCACCCUCAAGGUCCUAAGCAGCCCCGCCCCGCAGGCGGGCAGAGCAGAGCACCCCACCUGCGGCUUCCUGUUGGGCUUCCUGAGCAUGGCCAUCCUGGCUGAAGGCCAUACCUCCCUCCAGGGAGGCCAGGGAGAAGACUCAGUACCGCCUUGGGUGUUUCCACCAGGUCUUUCCCUCUGGCAGCUCCAGGCCGCUAAACAAUCUGGGGACCAAAACCGUGAAGUCACUCAUACAAGGCUGUCCAGUGAUGGGCCAGGACCGGCAUCUCUGUGGAUGAGCCCUUCCCAUUGGUGUGACCCGGAUGCAGAGAAGACACCGCCCUCCAGAUGCCCCACCACCCCCCUGCCCGACACACACACACACACACACACACACACACACACACACAUCACAAAUACACCACACCCCCACCACACACACCACACACACACACCACACACACACACACACGCCCCAUCACACCUGCACCACACACACACACACACCACACACACAUCACAAAUACACCACACACACACAAACCCACCCACCACACACACCACACACACAGACACACAUACGGCCCACCACACCCCCACCACACCCACAUACACACAAACGGAGGGGGAAAGGUUGGAAAGAAUUUUUGAUCUGUUUCAAUAAAACACCAAACAUAGCGUUGAAGGAAAAGCCAGCAGCCCGCGGACUCCACGGUUUCCGUCCCGAUUUGCUCAUUCCAUACUCUCCAGGCUCAGGGCCUUUAAGGAACACUAGCGCGCCGAGCGCCAACACUAGGAUCCCUCCUGCGCGCGUCUCACGCGCCGCCCGCCUCCAGCGCCGAAGGCCUCGGGGCGCAAACCCGGGCGCACCCGCCCCGCCCCGCCCCCUGUCGGAAGGGGCCCCGCCCCCCAAGCGGCGUGCCCCUCC